rnacentral:rRNA from 1 species
AGUGAACGCUGGCGGUAGGCCUAACACAUGCAAGUCGAACGGCAGCACAGUAAGAGCUUGCUCUUACGGGUGGCGAGUGGCGGACGGGUGAGGAAUACAUCGGAAUCUACUUUUUCGUGGGGGAGAACGUAGGGAAACUUAAGCUAAUACCGCAUACGACCUACGGGUGAAAGCAGGGGAUCUUCGGACCUUGCGCGAAUGAAUGAGCCGAUGUCGGAUUAGCUAGUUGGCGGGGUAAAGGCCCACCAAGGCGACGAUCCGUAGCGGGUCUGAGAGGAUGAUCAGCCACACUGGAACGGAGACACGGUCCAGACUCCUACGGGAGGCAGCAGUGGGGAAUAUUGGACAAUGGGCGCAAGCCUGAUCCAGCCAUACCGCGUGGGGGAAGAAGGCCUUGGGGUUGUAAAGCCCUUUUGUUGGGAAAGAAAAGCAGCAGGUUAAUACCCCGCUGUUCUGACGGUACCCAAAGAAUAAGCACCGGCUAACUUCGUG